rnacentral:rRNA from 1 species
GCAGGCCUAACACAUGCAAGUCGAGGGGUAACAGGGUAGCAAUAUCGCUGACGACCGGCGCACGGGUGAGUAUCGCGUAUGCAACCUUCCUUUAACUGGGGGAUAGCCCGGAGAAAUUCGGAUUAAUACCCCAUAAUAUUCCGGUAACGCAUGUUACUGGAAUUAAAGCUCCGGCGGUUAAAGAUGGGCAUGCGUACCAUUAGCUAGUUGGUAAGGUGNCGGCUUACCAAGGCUGCGAUGGUUAGGGGGUCUGAGAGGAUGAUCCCCCACACUGGUACUGAGACACGGACCAGACUCCUACGGGAGGCAGCAGUGAGGAAUAUUGGGCAAUGGGCGCAAGCCUGACCCAGCCAUGCCGCGUGAAGGAUGAAUGCCCUACGGGUUGUAAACUUCUUUUGUACGGGACGAAACUUCUGAUCGUGAUCGGAACUGACUGUACCGU